GUCGAACGGUGAAGCCCAGCUUGCUGGGUGGAUCAGUGGCGAACGGGUGAGUAACACGUGAGCAAUCUGCCCCUGACUCUGGGAUAAGCGCUGGAAACGGCGUCUAAUACUGGAUACGAACCGUGGAGGCAUCUUCAACGGUUGGAAAGAUUUUUUGGUCAGGGAUGAGCUCGCGGCCUAUCAGCUUGUUGGUGAGGUAAUGGCUCACCAAGGCGUCGACGGGUAGCCGGCCUGAGAGGGUGACCGGCCACACUGGGACUGAGACACGGCCCAGACUCCUACGGGAGGCAGCAGUGGGGAAUAUUGCACAAUGGGCGAAAGCCUGAUGCAGCAACGCCGCGUGAGGGAUGACGGCCUUCGGGUUGUAAACCUCUUUUAGCAGGGAAGAAGCGAAAGUGACGGUACCUGCAGAAAAAGCGCCGGCUAACUACGUGCCAGCAGCCGCGGUAAUACGUAGGGCGCAAGCGUUAUCCGGAAUUAUUGGGCGUAAAGAGCUCGUAGGCGGUUUGUCGCGUCUGCUGUGAAAUCCCGAGGCUCAACUUCGGGUCUGCAGUGGGUACGGGCAGACUAGAGUGCGGUAGGGGAGAUUGGAAUUCCUGGUGUAGCGGUGGAAUGCGCAGAUAUCAGGAGGAACACCGAUGGCGAAGGCAGAUCUCUGGGCCGUAACUGACGCUGAGGAGCGAAAGGGUGGGGAGCAAACAGGCUUAGAUACCCUGGUAGUCCACCCCGUAAACGUUGGGAACUAGUUGUGGGGUCCAUUCCACGGAUUCCGUGACGCAGCUAACGCAUUAAGUUCCCCGCCUGGGGAGUACGGCCGCAAGGCUAAAACUCAAAGGAAUUGACGGGGACCCGCACAAGCGGCGGAGCAUGCGGAUUAAUUCGAUGCAACGCGAAGAACCUUACCAAGGCUUGACAUAUACGAGAACGCUGCAGAAAUGUAGAACUCUUUGGACACUCGUAAACAGGUGGUGCAUGGUUGUCGUCAGCUCGUGUCGUGAGAUGUUGGGUUAAGUCCCGCAACGAGCGCAACCCUCGUUCUAUGUUGCCAGCACGUAAUGGUGGGAACUCAUGGGAUACUGCCGGGGUCAACUCGGAGGAAGGUGGGGAUGACGUCAAAUCAUCAUGCCCCUUAUGUCUUGGGCUUCACGCAUGCUACAAUGGCCGGUACAAAGGGCUGCAAUACCGUGAGGUGGAGCGAAUCCCAAAAAGCCGGUCCCAGUUCGGAUUGAGGUCUGCAACUCGACCUCAUGAAGUCGGAGUCGCUAGUAAUCGCAGAUCAGCAACGCUGCGGUGAAUACGUUCCCGGGUCUUGUACACACCGCCCGUCAAGUCAUGAAAGUCGGUAACACCUGAAGCCGGUGGCC
rnacentral:rRNA from 1 species